rnacentral:rRNA from 1 species
UAAGGAAUAUUGGACAAUGGAGGCAACUCUGAUCUAGCCAUGCCGCGUGAAGGAAUAAGGCCCUAUGGGUUGUAAACUUCUUUUAGACGGGACAAAACCCCUUUACGUGUAAAGGGUUGAUGGUACUGUCAGAAUAAGCAUCGGCUAACUUCGUGCCAGCAGCCGCGGUAAUACGAAGGAUGCAAGCGUUAUCCGGAAUUAUUGGGUUUAAAGGGUGCGUAGGCGGACUAAUAAGUCAGUGGUGAAAGCCUGCAGCUUAACUGCAGAAUUGCCAUUGAUACUGUUAGUCUUGAGUACAGUUGAGGUAGGCGGAAUGUGUCAUGUAGCGGUGAAAUGCUUAGAUACGACACAGAACACCGAUUGCGAAGGCAGCUUGCUAAGCUGUAACUGACGCUGAGGCACGAAAGCGUGGGGAGCAAACAG